GGUGAGAUGGCCGAGCGGUCUAAGGCGCCAGACUAAGGCUUGUAAAGCUUGUCAUCUGGUCCGAAAGGGCGUGGGUUCGAAUCCCACUCUCAUCA